rnacentral:rRNA from 1 species
GACAGAGGGUGCAAACGUUGUUCGGAAUUACUGGGCGUAAAGAGCUCGUAGGCGGUCUGUCGCGUCGGCUGUGAAAUCCCGAGGCUCAACCUCGGGUCUGCAGUCGAUACGGGCAAACUAGAGUAUUGCAGGGGAGACUGGAAUUCCUGGUGUAGCGGUGAAAUGCGUAGAUAUCAAGCGGAACACCGGUGGCGAAGGCGGGUCUCUGGGCAACAACUGACGCUGAGGAGCGAAAGCGUGGGGAGCGAACAGG